CCUACGGGAGGCAGCAGUGAGGAAUAUUGGUCAAUGGGCGGGAGCCUGAACCAGCCAAGUCGCGUGAGGGAAGACGGUCCUAUGGAUUGUAAACCUCUUUAGGCGGGGAGCAAUGCCGGGCACGCGUGCCCGGAGGGAGAGUACCCGCAGAAUAAGCAUCGGCUAACUCCGUGCCAGCAGCCGCGGUAAUACGGAGGAUGCGAGCGUUAUCCGGAUUUAUUGGGUUUAAAGGGUGCGUAGGCGGAUUUUUAAGUCAGCGGUAAAAUUGCCGGGCUCAACCCGGGCCGGCCGUUGAAACUGGGGAGCUUGAGUGGGCGAGAAGUAUGCGGAAGGCGUGGUGUAGCGGUGAAAUGCAUAGAUAGCACGCAGAACUCCGAUUGCGAAGGCAGCAUACCGGCGCCCGACUGACGCUGAGGCACGAAAGCGUGGGGAUCGAACAGGAUUAGAUACCCGAGUAGUC
rnacentral:rRNA from 1 species